ensembl:lncRNA
ACCACAUGACCUCCCGCAGAGGGGAGUUUGAUCCCGUGAGCACGCAGACCAGCAGGGGAGGAGAUUCCGGUUGUAGAGACGACGGGACGGACGAUAAAAUCUGAACUGACGGACCAGAACCUGCAGCGGACAAAAUAACAAGAAUAUAUCGUUUCUUCAAUUCUCUCUCGCUUUGCUCACAAUGAGAACUUGAGUCACAGCACGUUGCUCGUUUGUCAACAGGGAACAAUUAUUGUUGGAAACUCAAUCAAGCCGAGACAUAAAACCACCACAGACAAGGAGACUAAAUAACCACAAAGAGACAAGACAACCAAAAGGAGACACAAGACAAACAAAAAGAGACACAAAAUAACCACAAAUAGACAUUUUGUUUUAUGCCUUCUCUUGACAAUUGUAACUGGUUCCAGUUGGUAAUCGGCUCAUUUUAUCUUGUAUGUUUCGGAGACGACCUGCUGUCUUGAUAUGACGAUGAUCAUCAUCUCCGUUAUAGUCGGCUCCUUCUUCACCAACGUCGACCAGCAGCUGAGUCCCGCCACUGAAAACCACGGAGAAGGAGACGGCGCGUCUGCCGGGCAGAGAGCAAACGCACCAACAUCUGCAGGAGGAAACGCACCGUGAGGACAAAGCGACGCUCACAGAGCAGCUUCUUCAGUUUCUCACCGCAGCAGGAAGAUGAAGCUCAGAGCCGUAUCCAUCCCAAAGGCCUCUAUCUCCAGCCGUUCAAGCUGCCGAGGAGGAAAUACACUGAAAUGAAAGUAGAAGUUUUAAAUUCUUUGGGUUUUUUUAAGUCCUCACAUCUCACUUAAGUUCAAAUAAAUGUCGUUUUUUUAAUCAUAUGUUUUCAUAAUAUUGAAAAACCAGCAUGAGCUUUAACAGACAAUUUUUACCUAAAACAAGAGUCCAUUUAACAUUGUUUGGAUUCUGAUUUAAAGUCAUCGCAAGGAUCGUUUUUAACGUCGAAUUAAAAGUAUUCGUACCUUUUUCUAAUAGUGGUCCUUGGAGCUGCGGCUGCAGUCAGUCUGAAGUCUGAUGAUCUUUGGGUCUGUAAAACAGAAAUAUGAAAACCGUUGAAGCAGAACACCGACAGCCUCCAGAGGAGGGACGCUGCUCUGGGAUCAGAUCGACCGUUGGUUCGCAGCUGGUGACAGAAAAACAGGACAUCUUCUCACUGUGGUUCCAACUGGCGUCCGAGAUAAGAUCCCCACACCAAAGAAACACAAUCGCUACAACACAUAGUGUUGGUCUGUGUAAAACUAGUAUGAUGAGAAUUGUUGUAACAUUCUUCUUUUGGUUUUUUAAUAUUAUUAUAGCAACAUGAAGAUCUUCUUACUGUCGACAUUGUGUUGAAUGAAUCUUUCUGUUGGAUUUCUCUCCAGGGAUUUGAUCCCAAAUACAACUUGACAAUAAGUGUUAAUAUAUAACUAUAUUGUUGAUGUAGUUUUUUAAAGCACUGAUAUUCCACUAUUGUAGAUAUGAUGUACAUGCGUGUUAGUGACGUAAAAAAGAGCAGGUUGUCUCCGGAUGAAACGGCGCCCCCUGUUUGUAACGUGAGUAUAAUCAAACAAUCACAGCGAGUCUAACUGAGAAAAAACAGGUGAAUCUGAUUUCUAAGUAUUGCCGUAUCAUUAUGUAAUAAAAUGUGGCACCGUGGAAGUGAAUUUAGACAACAGUUAGCUGGCUUCCAGCCAUUGCUAAUGCUAAUGCUAAUGCUUCUAGCAUAGGUGGCGGCGGAGUGUCAACAAACAAAAUGGCGUCUCAGCAACACGUGCGCUGUCAUUAUCGGACCGAUGGAGAUGGUUUAAGGACCCUGAAAAAAAAGAGACCCAGCUUCACAUCCCGUGAGUCAGAUACACGUUGUUACCCGUCUGCCUGUAACCUGUCUGCCUGUUACCUGUCUGCAGUGGCGGGCUGGUCCAUAGACUACAGACAGGAAGUAAGAAGAAAAAAGGAAGAAGAAAAAAGAAAAUAAAUAGUUUUAUUAAUUUUUGUAUGCAUACAUUUUACAAAUAGUCAAUAUUCGUGUUUUUGUGCUUUUGAAAGAUUGAUUAUAUAUCCGGUAAUAUUUGUAAAUUAACAUAUCUGGCAAAAUGUAUGACGUCCUCUCCGCUUGUCUCAGCUGGUCGGUCCCAAAGCGGCGGGUCAAAGAAGCAGUUCAGCCAAUCACUGAUGACGUUAAUGAGUGACAUUAUAAUUUCAGCGUCGUAAAAUACAUGGAGAUUUGGGCCCUGCGCUUAACAACGUGCGACCACCGGCAGUGUCCUCCAAGAAGACCCGACCCGAACUCGGUACCAGGGUAGAACUUUGCCGGAAGAACUAGAGGUAAAACAGGUGGUAAAACAGGUGGACCCAGAUCAGCCCGACCUCACGAUCAGACAGCGGCCCGACGCACAUACAACGCGUCUGUAGAGACUCCUACACCGGGAUGUUUAGCUAGCUAGCUACGCGCUAAUGCUGUGUAUUUUUCUAGGCUAGCAUCAUUAAAGUUGACAUCGCUGCCCAGCUGCGACGCACACAGGACCGCGACAGUGAAAGUACAACAGACUGAAGAUCCAUCCGACUCGGAUGAAACCGCAUGGCGUCGUUUCUUCUUCUUCUACUCUCCUCCCCGGGUCACGGGGUCACGGCGCAGUAAUAAACUGCCGAGUCGCUCCAUGUGGCGUCGAGCAGCAGCAGCGAGCCGUCGGCUCCAGCGGAGACCUUCCCCGGGCCCACGGCGGCGCCGUACUUCACGUCGGAGGCGUUUGUGGACCUGAAGGCCAGCAGCAGCUCCGGGCGGCGUCCUGCCGCUGUCCGGUACCAGCUGAGGGUGGAGGAGGCGUUGGUGGAGGAGGCGUUGGUGGAGGCGUCCAGCAGGGGGCACCGCAGGGCGGCGUCCUCCCCGACCCUCACCCGCACGGGGGAGGCUGGCAACGCGGCGGCGGCGUGCGGCUCCCACCGGAAACCUGAGACACGUGUUUAUUUAUAAUCGUUUUCAUCCACACAGACAGAAUCAAUAUAACUAAAGUAGGUUGUAGUAGAACUAGUUCUGAGAAGAAAAAAAAAAUGCUUUUGAUUCCAAACAGUAAGAAAUUACAUUUGAAACAAAAGUAAUAAUAUAGCUUUUCAAGUUAAAACGAGAUGGAAAGUUGAUUUAAUUUCGUGCCGCUAAGUGGUGACUGACCAAUAGUUGCACCUCUGAAUAUUUGUUCCUCCAUUAAUCCUGAAUAUUUAAACAUGUAAAGUAUCGUUCAGGCGCUGCAUUUCUAAUCCUUCUUAAAGGAAGCUUUAAUUUGAAGGAACGUUCGGCAUAAAAUCCCUUCAAUUUGCCCAAAAUGAGUCUUCUACCUGUCAACAGUUGAUGCGUUUAGUCACCAGAUUAUGAAUCAGUUGCCUGAAGAUUAUAUUUCAAUAUCAAUUUAAGCAUAAAACUAAAUAUGUGUAUGCAGAGUUUAGACAUUAAUAAUAUAAACAAAACAACUCACUGCUGAAAGAGAGGAUCAGACCAACCAGCAGAGACUCCAUCACUGAGGAAGCUGCUAACUGAAAGACUUCAAUGACAAAGAUGUCCUCCGGUGGUGGAGACACUGAGACAAGAGCCGAUCACACAUCAGUCCCGCUCUGUUAUUGAUCCACACCAACAGCUACUUCCUGUUUACUUCCUGGUGUUGCAGUGAUGGUUGAGCGUGUGGGUCUAAAUCACCAGGGGGGUAAAUGUGACCAUGGAACACCUGCAGGAAGUUUAAGUAACCGCUUGUCUUUUAUAGAUGAGAAUAUUUUCGUUGUAAGAUUGAACUAGUUUAUAAUCCCAAACAGAUUUAAUAAUUAGUUCAAACUUUAGCUAUCAACUCGUUUAUGUCAGCAGAAAAUUAAAACCAUAAAUGAGUGCAGUCGGUAAAUAUAUGAAUUGAAUAUUAUAUUAGGAAUGUGGCAGGUAAAAGUACCCGUGCUACCCAACCAAACCCUGCCGGUGCCUUGGGGAGGAUUUACAGUGGGCAGACUGACCCGUAAACAGGCGUCAGAAAACACUUCCAAGGUUCUAGAACCUCGGGGACGGUCUCAUCUGAACCGCUAUAUUAAUAAUGUUAAUAUUAUUGUUACGAUCAUUAUAAUCACAUUAUUAUUUAUACUACUUAAACGUAUCAUUAUUUUAUAUUAUUAUCUCUGUUAGUAAUAUUUAUGCAUUAUUGCCUUUUUAUUUAUUAUUGUUAUUUAUGUUGUCAUUGUUGUUAUCAUGACAGUUGGACUCUAGGUGUGGCCCCGGUGGGAGGGG